rnacentral:rRNA from 1 species
GAUGAACGCUGGCGGCGUGCCUAAUACAUGCAAGUCGAGCGAAUAGAUAAGGAGCUUGCUCCUUUGACGUUAGCGGCGGACGGGUGAGUAACACGUGGAUAACCUACCUAUAAGACUGGGAUAACUUCGGGAAACCGGAGCUAAUACCGGAUAACAUAUUGAACCGCAUGGUUCAAUAGUGAAAGGCGGCUUUGCUGUCACUUAUAGAUGGAUCCGCGCCGUAUUAGCUAGUUGGUAAGGUAACGGCUUACCAAGGCAACGAUACGUAGCCGACCUGAGAGGGUGAUCGGCCACACUGGAACUGAGACACGGUCCAGACUCCUACGGGAGGCAGCAGUAGGGAAUCUUCCGCAAUGGGCGAAAGCCUGACGGAGCAACGCCGCGUGAGUGAUGAAGGUCUUCGGAUCGUAAAACUCUGUUAUCAGGGAAGAACAAAUGUGUAAGUAACUGUGCACAUCUUGACGGUACCUGAUCAGAAAGCCACGGCUAACUACGUG